AGGAAGGUGAAUCGUUCUUUGGUGUGAAGGAUAUGACCCCGGCCCGUUGGGCCAAGGCUGCCUGCCCUUGAGUUGUCCCUUUUUUUUUUUUCUUACCAUGGCUUUGGCUGUACUACGUAUCCUGGUGAGGCUGUCAUUAUGUCUUGUAACUUCUUGUAUCCAUAAGAAGCAUAAGUUUUAUUUUUCUGCACUGCUACAAAAUAAGGCUACGACAGCGGUUGAAAAACUACUGCCAUAGCCUAAAAAAUUGCUGUCAUUUCAACUAUUAUUAGAGCCCAAAAAAUUACUAUCAUAGCCUACCACAGUAGUUAGAUAAUCGCUACCAUCAUAUCUGUCACCGACAGCGACUUUUUGAGAUACGAUAGUGAUUGUGUCAAUCACUACCAUAGAAAGGUAUGGCAGCAAUUUUGUAACCGUUGUUAUAUCAAUAGCUGCCAUAGAGACUAUGGUAGCAGUUUGCCAAUUACUGUCAUAGUAUCUAUCAUAAUGGUUAUCCAACCGCUGCCGUAGAUACUACGGCAACGGUUGUUCAACCGCUGUCGUAGAUACUACAACAGCGGUUGGAAAACCUUUGCCGUAGUCUUCACCGGUCAAAAAGGUCGGUAGGUAAUGGAUGGUGGCCGGCCUGCAGUAGGAGGUGGUCGGUGGCGGUCGGGUCUGUCGAGGCGGUGGCGGCGAGGGGUGACAGCGGCGGCGGGCGGAUCCAUCGAGGCGGUGCUAGCGGUCGAGGGCGGCGGCAACGGUUGCCAGCAGUUGGGGGAGGCGGCUAGUGGUAGGCUACCGACGGCAGGGGACGGCGACGGUGGUGGUCGCGAUGGGCAGAGAUGGUGGGUGGUUGACUACUUGAGUCAUUAUAUACAAGUCAUUCAUUUCUUCUACAAUCGAUGUGGAACUAUCACAAUCAAUCAUAGAAUAGACCUACGGCAGCGGUUAUCGAUAACCAUUGCUAUAGACUGACCUAUGAUAGCAGUUAUCGGUAACUACUACCGUAAAUCCACUCUGUGGCAGCAGUUGGUGAUAACUGCUGCCAUAGGUAGAGAUAUGGUAAUAGUUAUACCUAACCACUACCAUAAGUAGAUAUAGUAGUGGUUAGUAAACCACUGUCAUAGACCAAUAGCAGCAGUUAUUAACAACCGCUGCUAUAGAGGCAGAAUAUAAUUUUUUUACUAUUUUUCUCUGAAUAUGAUAUAAUUUUAAAAUUUAAAGUCCACCUUCACCGUUUAUUAUCUAAAUAAUUAUCAUUAGAAUAUCGUCACAAAAGACCUCCUCGAUUCAGCAGCCCUAGAUGUCAAUUAUUAAAACUUGAUUUUGACGAUCACAAACAGCCGCAUAAUGAUCUGAUAGAUAGAGAUCAUCGAUGGAUCCGAAAACUUACAAUGAUGAUCUCAAUAAUAUUUAUAUUACAUUAUCAAAAUUUCAUUUCAAUCGAAUAUCAUUAUCGUGGUCAAUUUAGCACAGGAUUAUUGGACCGUUAAAUGAAAAAUGAGUGAUAGAAAAGUCAAACAACGUUCGAUUAUAAGAUAUUUUUUAGAUAAAUGAUCUUUACUACUAUUUUGAUUAUUUAUACGAUGAUGAUCGUAAAAUUCAAACUGUAUGUAUAUGAACGAUUUAAAAUUAUAUAUCGUUUACUACUCAUUCUUAAAUUCUUUAAGUAAUUGUACUUGUACUUUUAUAAGAUAUGUCCAAAUGGAUUUCAAUAUAUAUACAUAGUUCGAAUUUUAUGAUCACCACCGUAUAAAUGAUUAAAGUAUCAACAAAGAUCAUUUAUCCAAAAAAUCACCUCAAUCGAAUGUCGAUUGGCCUUGUGAUUACUCAUUUUUUCAUUUAACAAUCAAAAUCAUCCCAUACUAAAUUGAACAUGCUAAUGAUAUCCGAUUGAAGUAAAAUUUUGAUAGUGUGCUAUAAAUAUUAUCUAAAUCAUUAUCAUAAAUUUUCAGAUCCAUCGGUAGUCUUUAUCUAUCAAAUUAUCACAUAGUCAUUUAUGGCCAUCGAAAUCAAAUCUUAAUGAUCGAUAAAGCUAGGGCUACCGGAUCGAGGCAGUCUUUUAUGAAGAUACUUUAAUGAUAAUUAUUUAGAUAAUAAACAGUGAAGAUAUGCUUCAAAUUCAAUUUUACUAUUACAGGUUCACAUAAUCAUCAAAAAUUAUUUGUAAGUAUCGACUAAAUUUCUUUAAAACUCCAAUUUGAGGAGCAAAACAAUGUUUUUUCGCAAAAUCAUUAUUGUAGCCACAUGAUCUCGAAAAGUUAUAUGAAAUCAAAAAAAAAAUUCAUUGAAAUCUAACCUUUGGAUUAAAAGUUAUAGAAUGAUAAAAUUUUUACCUACGACAACCGCUACCAUAGGUGAUUUACAGUGGUGGUUAUCCAUAACCACUGCGGUAAGUCCGACUUAUGAUGGCGAUUAUUUGUAGCUGCUACAGUAGGCAUAAUCGCUGUCAUAUAAGCACUAUCAUAGCCCCUCUUUGUCGUAGUGCUAGAAGAGAUCUUAACCACAUCGUGUGAUUAGAGUCUCAAGUUAAUAUCGUGCAACCCCUUAUUUAAAUUUUUGGUAAUUUUUUAUUGGAGAUCCUGAAUGUUUAUAAUUGAUUUGAUGGUUGGACUAAUUUUAUAUAUGAGCAAUUAUCGGGGUAAGAUAGUGUUGAGUCGAAUAUUUUGCCCUCGAAUUCGUAAAUCGAGGAGCACAGUGAUGUUCAUCAUACUUAGAUUUAUCAUCAAUAGAUGUAAAAAUUUUUAGCCACAAAUACUUAUAUAUAUGUUUGCUUGUAUAUUGUAUUGUUUUGGUUUUUCACAACUAAUUUUGAUAGAUACGUGAUUGUCAGUAUGACUAUUUAUAGCUUUUAUGUUACAUACUUUUAUUGAUGGUUUGUCGGAUGGUAUGGAUUGUGAUAUCAACUACUGAAAAUUUUGAAAGAAUUAUAGUAUUUAUAAUAUUUUCUAGUAUAAUUGAGAUUAAUAAAUUGAUGGUUGAGAAAAGAGUGUUUGGACUAGCUACAUUAAAUUACGAAUAGCCUUAUAUAGACAAAAAUGUCAUCCCGAGAAUAGCCCUCCAUGAGCAAAAAUAUGGCACUGAGAACCGCCCCACCACGGAUAGAAACAUUUUACUUGAGUUUGCUAGUCACGGACUGGAGCAUGACGAUGAUUAGAUCAAAAUCUUAAAGACAACUGUUGAUUGACCUAGAUCAUAUUAAUGAGAUAUAGAUGAUAAGAUAUGAAAUCACAAUUAAGAAAAAAAAAUUUACUUAAUGCUAUAUGUGUGGCAUAUCAAUUUUGAAAAAGAUGGAUAUUUGAUGGUAUAUAAUGCAUAUUUUUGUAUAUAUGAUAUUAAGUUAUACUGGAUAUUUGGCAUGAGAUUUCGUAGUUUAUAUUCUCUCUUUGAUAUUGUUUAUCUAUUAUUUUCAAAUUAUAUACCUAUAUUGGUGUGUGUGUGGAGAUUCUUGUUAAACUGUAAAGCUUACAAGUAGAGGUGGCAAACGGGUCGGGUCGGAUCAUAAAUGGAUUGGGUCAGAAAAUGGUCAACCCAAACCCAAUCUGUUUAUUAAACGGGUCAAAAAUUCAAAUCUAAAUCCGACCUGUCUAUUAAAUAGGUAAUCCGAUCCAAUCCGAUCCGUUUAACUCAUUUAUUAAAUAGGUCAAAUUAGAUUAAACGGGUUAAACAGGUUAAACGGGUUAAACAGAUUAAACGGGUCAAGUUAAAUGGGUCAUAAAUAAGUUAAACAGAUUUUAAACAGAUUAAAUGGAUCUUAAACAGAUUAAACAGGUGAAACAGAUCGGAUUAAAUAGGUCAGAAAUAGGUUAAACAGAUUAAAUAGAUUAUUUGACUCAACCCAACCUAAAUAUUAAACGGGUUAAACGGGUCAGAUAUCUAAAAUCCAUACCUGACCCACUUAUUAAAUGGGUGAAACGGAUCGAUCCGUUUAUGACCCGAACCCAUUUAGCCUAAACCCAAACUUGUUUAUGGCGGAUCGAAUAUGGAUCGGAUUGACGGAUCGGAUCAUAUUUUACCAGUCCUACUUACAAGCCUUCUCUUUUUUUUUUGAGUUAUAGAAUAUUUAUAUUUAGCUAGGGUUGGGAUGUCGAUUUGAAAGAAUUAAUUCAUUAGAUAGAGCAUCAUCAAUAAUAGUUAGAUGAUUGAGUUUUGUAAAUUGUAUAAGAUUUGAUAUUUGUUAAUAUGAAAUAUUUAUUGUGAAUUGAAAUCAAUAGUAAUCACAAGAUGUUGAGGUUGUAAUGAGUUUUUAUGUGUACAUAUCUUUUAGAAUUUUAUCGUAAAGAGUGUGCAAUCAUCACGUGACCGACUCGAGUGCUAGAUUUUGAGUAUGAAAGCCAGCUAAAAAAAAAGAAUAUCGAGAGGCCAUAUUAUCAAUGAGAUGAUUGCCUGAAUUUUAGUGCUAUUAUUUUCAUCAAUCAUUUUUUUAAGAGAGUUUUAUUUUGUUAAUCUAGCACCAUAAAAUUUUGGUGAAGCAAAAUGAAAUUCAUGCUUACGGUUGCUUCACAGCCCAAUAUAAACAAAAUUUACCUUUUCUUACUUCAUAACCCAUGGUCCAUCAUUCAUCACAUGAUAGAGUGUUGUUGAAUACUUGAAUUACCACUGUGCUUGCUAUCUAAUGCUGCUAAGGUGAGGUCUAUCUUCUAUAGACAUUUAUGAAGAAUAUAUUUGACAGACUAGUUCAUUAAAAUUUAAAACUCAUGUUGCCUUCCAGUUUAGAACCACCCUCUUCCAUAAAAAUCAAAGACGACAACUUCUCCAAUAAGAAAAUGCCAACC
rnacentral:lncRNA from 1 species